GCCCAGAUAGCUCAGUCGGUAGAGCAGAGGAUUGAAAUCCUCGUGUCCCUGGUUCGAUUCCGGGUCUGGGCA
rnacentral:tRNA from 1 species